UUCAAAUUAGCAUCUAUAUGUUUAUGCACAUCUAAGAGUAGCACGUGUACUCAGUUAUGAUUGUGUUUAUUAACAGUUAUGAUUGUGUUUAUCAACGAUUGAUUGGGUUAUUGGUUUGAUUUUGUGAAAUAGGGUUAUAUUGUGGUUCAGUUUUGUUCUCUUAAGAAGAUUCAACUUAGUCCUUAUCGGCGGCUUGCACAGUGCCAACACCAACAGAUUUGAACAGAUCAAUGCUGGCAAAGCUCCUAGAAGUAAACCCGUAUGACCCUUGGAAGACAAGAAAAAAUAGAAGAGCGAAAUAAAGUGUGAGAGUGAUUUGUAUAGGCUAUGAUGAUCGUUAGCUUGAGCAAACAUGGUAUUUACAUUGCUUUGUGACCACAGGUUUGGACCGAAGUUCUAUUCUAGGAAUUUUGUAGUCAACAUUUUGGAUCUGUGCAAGAACGUAUGAUAUCUUAUCCUUUUGUAUGUACCUUUGUUAAUUGUAUUUGUUUUGUCUCUUUAUUCUUAUUAUAGGAUGAUUUGUCA